GAAUCAAACUUGACUUAUGGACCAACAAAAGCCCCUGGAGAAAACUGGCAUCAUACUUGUUUACACAGUCCCUGAACAGGGUUACCUGUGGCAAGUAAAGAAUAUCACUUUCUGACAGACCUAGGAGCCCUAAUUUUUAUCUUGGAACCUCAAGAGGAGAGGAUCACACAAAUCACAGGUUAGGCAUCUGCUGCACUGGAGGGACAGAACUGUUCCUGGUAUGUUGGUCACAACACUCCAAUGGGUGAUAUUGGCCAAAAUGCUUUAUCAGAGCAGUGGCUGUUGGAUCUGUGACUCAUUCAGAUUCAUGGGAUUGAUGUGUACAUUUGUUAAAUGAGUUUAUUGUGUGAUACUGAGGUUUGGAGUAUGACUGAUUGCAUCACCCAGGUAAUGAACAUAGUAGCCAAUAGUAUUUUGACUCUUGCCUUUCUCCUUCCCCCAUCUAGUAGUCUCUAGUGUCUAUCAUUUUCAUUUUUAUGUACACAAAUACCCAAUGUCUGGCUCCCACUUAUAAGUGAGAACAUGUGGUAUCUGGUUUUCUGUUCCUGCAUUAAAUCAUUUAAAAUAAUGGCUUCUAGUUGCAUCCAUGUUGCUGCAAAGAACAUUAUCUUAUUCUUUUCAAAAGCUGCUUAGUGUACCAUGGUAUAUAUGUAUUCAAUUUUGUUUAUCCAAUUCACUGUUGAUGGGCAACUAGGUUGAUUCCAUAUUUUGCUAUUGUGAGUAGUGCUGUAAUGAACAUGCAAGUGAAUGUGGGUUUUUUUGGUAGAAUAAUUUACUUUCAUUUGAAUUUGUACCCAGUAAUAAAAUUUCCAAUGUCAAAUAGUGAUUCUAAGUUCUUUGAGAAAUCUUUGCACUGUUUUUGUCACAGAAAAACAAAAUCUUGGGACUCCAAUUUACUAUGCCAAAAGGAAAAAUUAAUCUAGAGCUGAGUCAUGCAGGAAAUUGCCUUUUGUUUUGUUCCUAAGCAGAUAGCUCCAAAUAAAAGGCCACCUAUCUGCACAGAGUUUUACUCACUUCCAACAAGGAAGGCUAAUUUUCCUGUUCACCUCAUGAUGUGGGGCAAGAGACUGCUUUCUGUAAUUUUCGCUCACUUACAACAGGGAAAGCAAGUUUUACUUUUUUCCUGCUUCUGAGAUGGUAGAAAGCAGUCUUCAGCCCAAGACCCAUUCCUAGGUAAGUAGCUAAAUUGGCAUUCUGUCUUGAAAAUUCUUCUUGAGGACUAAAGAUUCACAACCAGUCAAUAAUUAAUUUCUCCCCACCUUCAGAGUGUUUUGUCGUUGUUUUUAUCUUCAUUGCAUUGGAUUUGGUGAACUCUACCCAACUAGGUCAAAUCUGAAUGAGAAUUCCAAAUAAUGAGGAACCAGGCUUUUGAACUGGCCAAAUUUUUGCAGCUGUAAAAAUAACAAAUAACAAUGAUCAAAAGAUUUUUUUUUGACUACUUGAGGGACUUCAUUUACAUAAGAAGGUUGUAUUUUACUAACCAAGAUGUGUCUAGUUUGUUUGAUUUUCUUCUAAAAGAACAGUAGUGGCCAUUUCAUGCUAUAGUUGAGUAGCUAAGAUUAUGCUCUUUUCACUGUGGCAGCCUGGAUUUGGCUCCUAAAUAAAGUCCUUUCUGGUUUGAUAUUUAUGUUAACUUAGUAUAUCAGCUGUUUGUUCUAGCUAAAAUAGAGUAGUGAGAGAUUUGAAAGAAUUUUCUAGGAGCUUUAUGAUUAAAGUCAACUUAAUUAAAAGCUGGUAUCCUUGAUACACACACACACACAAACACACACACACACACACACACACACACACACAGCCUUUAUCUUUAUGUUUUGUCUCUUAGAUCCUGCUUUUGGGAAUUUUUUUUUCCAGUGGACUAAAACUUUUUCAAGAAAACACCAUGUGCUUUGUUUCUCUUUAUAUUCCCUUGCUUAAAAAGCUGUUCUUUCAUUUACUUUUCUUCCACCUUAUUCCUCUUUCCCCUUUGCCAUCUUCUGUACCAAAUGAAAAGACCUAGAGAAGGCUUCUAAUGUACUCAGACUCCUUAAAUAACUCAAAAUAAAGAUGCCACUAACCCCUCCUUUGGGGUAUUCUGCUUUCUUUGUGAAGUUACUAGAGCCAAAGGCAGAUUCCUCCCAGGUCUAACUCUGUGUGUUUUGCAUCGUACCUAUCUUUUUAGCUUUUGAGGGUAUCAAAAAUCACUUUUCAUCAUGAAAAGCUUUUUAUAUUGGUAUCUGUAAUAUCUGUAAUUGAUAUAUUUUUGGAAAUGUUUAAAUGGCAGUUGUUUACAGUAAAUAAUUAUUGCUACAGGGGCUACUCUUUGUGUGUUUAAGAUAAGAAAGAGUGCAGUUCCACCAUGUAAAUAAAUAUUUUUGUGGCAAAGUACACGGUAAAGGCAUGACAUGGCAUAGUCCCAUGUAUCUCUCUCUUUUCGGAGACCCAGCAUUCAGUGUGGGCUCAUUUGGGAGCUCAGUGGUCCAGUUAAAACAUAAAGACUAAAUAUGGAACUACUUAUUUAAAUAAUAUUGGUUCCAUUUUAAAAUCCUUUGGUAGAUUUUUAUAAUUUUGUGUUUGACUUGGCAUGCAUUUCUAAUUUUCCUCUAACAUAAUCAGACUCUCUCUAUUUUGAUAUGUAAAUUUCUGCCUUCUGAGAUUCACUUUAGAGUUGUUUCUUUAGUAUGCAAAUUUAGGGCUAUCUAGCUGACAAUUGCCUUGAAUAAUAAAACAAGUUAUCAGAAAAUUGGAAGUCUAAAAUAAGAAAGAAAAAAACAGCAUUAUAAAUCUCUAAGAUCUCCUACUGUCUAUGUGUCUGUGUAUGUAUUUAGUUGUUCAGUAUAUAAUGUUUCACUGGUGUAUAUAUAUACACACACACAUACGUGUGUGUGUGUGUGUGCGCUCUAAUUGGUUAGUAUAAAGAGAUAAAAAAAAAACCUAAUAAAUUAUCAGAAAAGUAGAAACUUUAAU
rnacentral:lncRNA from 1 species